rnacentral:rRNA from 1 species
CGACGCACUUUCGUUAAUUGAUUUUGAGAUGCUUGCAUCGAAGAUGAUUUUAACUAUAAAGUGAGUGGCGAACGGGUGAGUAACACGUGGGUAACCUGCCCAGAAGUGGGGGAUAACACCUGGAAACAGAUGCUAAUACCGCAUAACAAAAUUAACCGCAUGGUUGAUUUUUAAAAGAUGGCUUCGGCUAUCACUUCUGGAUGGACCCGCGGCGUAUUAGCUAGUUGGUGAGAUAAAGGCUCACCAAGGCAGUGAUACGUAGCCGACCUGAGAGGGUAAUCGGCCACAUUGGGACUGAGACACGGCCCAGACUCCUACGGGAGGCAGCAGUAGGGAAUCUUCCACAAUGGACGCAAGUCUGAUGGAGCAACGCCGCGUGAGUGAUGAAGGCUUUCGGGUCGUAAAACUCUGUUGUUGGAGAAGAACGUGUGUGAGAGUAACUGCUCAUGCAGUGACGGUAUCCAACCAGAAAGCCACGGCUAACUACGUGCCAGCAGCCGCGGUAAUACGUAGGUGGCAAGCGUUAUCCGGAUUUAUUGGGCGUAAAGCGAGCGCAGGCGGUCUUUUAAGUCUAAUGUGAAAGCCUUCGGCUUAACCGAAGAAGUGCAUUGGAAACUGGGAGACUUGAGUGCAGAAGAGGAGAGUGGAACUCCAUGUGUAGCGGUGAAAUGCGUAGAUAUAUGGAAGAACACCAGUGGCGAAAGCGGCUCUCUGGUCUGCAACUGACGCUGAGGCUCGAAAGCAUGGGUAGCGAAC